GCCCGCCUACAGAAACUCAAAGGAAGUUGACGGGGGCCCGCACAAGCGGAGGAGCAUGUGGUUUAAUUCGAUGAUACGCGAGGAACCUUACCUGGGCUCGAACGUAAGAUGACUGUAGGUGAAAGCUUACAUCUCUUCGGAGCAUUUUACGAGGUGCUGCAUGGUUGUCGUCAGCUCGUGCCGUGAGGUGUCGGGUUAAGUCCCAUAACGAGCGCAACCCCUACCUUUAGUUGCCAUCAGGUUAAGCUGGGGACUCUAAAGGAACUGCCUACGCAAGUAGUGAGGAAGGCGGGGAUGACGUCAAAUCAGCACGGCCCUUACGUCCAGGGCUACACACGUGCUACAAUGGCCGAUACAGAGGGCAGCUACCUGGUGACAGGAUGCAAAUCUCCAAAGUCGGUCUCAGUUCGGAUCGGAGUCUGCAACCCGACUCCGUGAAGUUGGAUUCGCUAGUAAUCGCGCAUCAGCCAUGGCGCGGUGAAUACGUUCCCGGGCCUU
rnacentral:rRNA from 1 species